GAUGAACGCUGGCGGCGUGCCUAACACAUGCAAGUCGAGCGAUUUACUUCGGUAAAGAGCGGCGGACGGGUGAGUAACGCGUGGGUAACCUGCCCUGUACACACGGAUAACAUACCGAAAGGUAUGCUAAUACGGGAUAAUAUGCUUUAGUCGCACGGCUGAAGUAUCAAAGCUCCGGCGGUACAGGAUGGACCCGCGUCUGAUUAGCUAGUUGGUAAGGUAACGGCUUACCAAGGCGACGAUCAGUAGCCGACCUGAGAGGGUGAGCGGCCACAUUGGAACUGAGACACGGUCCAAACUCCUACGGGAGGCAGCAGUGGGGAAUAUUGCACAAUGGGCGAAAGCCUGAUGCAGCAACGCCGCGUGAGCGAUGAAGGCCUUCGGGUCGUAAAGCUCUGUCCUCAAGGAAGAUAAUGACGGUACUUGAGGAGGAAGCCCCGGCUAACUACGUGCCAGCCGCCGCAGUAA
rnacentral:rRNA from 1 species